GCUGAGCAAAUCGCCGAGUUCGCCGUAGUCGCAAGGCCGUGAGGCGCCAGGCUACUAGUCUAGUACCACUUUCUUGGGCCCGCCCAUGCGCAGAUCUAACCAGAUUAAAGCCCAACUCGGAUGCGUAGAGCCGUAGAGGCAGGCGUCAGCUCUUUCAAGUUUCGCCACACGCGCACGGCAGGCGACUAGGCGCCAAGCAGUUGCGUUUGGCAAAGCUGGAGUUCGGGAUUUCCUCCCUGGCGGUACGGGACGGCGGCGAUGGGCUGCUGGGGUGGCUCCUCGCGGCGGCACGGGCAAUGGCGCAUCCUUCGAUUCGCUCCCGAACAGAAUUUGAGUAGCAGGUUGGUGGUGGAAGGUGGAAGCAGAGAUCGGUCGCUUGAAACACUGGGAUCAUUCGGCGCAGGUCGAAUUCAUAGGAUUCACACGACGAAGCAGAAUGGCCAACUGGCCAUUAAUUCGAUUCGUCAAGAGCUUUGAACAGUGUGUAACUGACGGCCCAAAGUGGGAGCCCGAAGAAUUGACCUAGGAAACCACAUGGCGAGCUUGAGCAGCUAUAUCAGGCAAAGAUCAAAGAUGGCUGGCAGGCGUGCUUUGCAGCUUUGGUGGUUCCAACUCCCUUUCGUGCAUGCCGUGCGUCGCUCUUGCAAACGUGGAGUACUUGACCAUAUAUGACUUUCUCGUGCAGGGAUCCUCCAGAAGAAAGAAAGGUCUUGGUGAUGGUGGCAUCUGGAAAGGAGGAGCCGCUGAGCUGCACGCCUGCACGGGCCUGACUGAAGGGAGCCAAGCUCGUCUUGCCAUGUGCGUAAUCCCCAAGUACUAUAGCUCGGAGGGAAUCGGAAGAACGCCAGAGGCGAUGGCAGACAGAUCGUCUUAAUCUGUGUUUGACCAUAUUUGACUAUGCCAACAUGAAAUUCUCCAUGUCAUGCAUAGAGUUUGUAGCUUUGUGGCUAUUUAUUUCUGUUUAGAUCACAUGAGCAGUACUUUUACUCCCUCCGUUCCAUAUUAAGUGACUCAAAUUUGUCAAAAUAAGGAUGCAUGUACGUCCAAAAAAAGUUUAGAUACAUGUAAUAUUUCGUCACUUAAAAUAUGAGACGGAGGGAGUAUUUUGUAUCUUAAUGAUGUCAUGUGUACUAAAUUUCCAAAGCCAGCCUAGUGAACAGAAACUAUCUUGCCCUAUAUAUAAAGCAGGGGUAGAAGUCAAGACUUGUGCAAGAUUA